rnacentral:misc_RNA from 1 species
UUUCCGUAAGUGAACCUGCGGAAGGAUCAUUAUUGUAUAACCGAGGUGCGAGGGCUGUCGCUGACCCGAAAGGUCGUGCACGCCCGAGUGCCCUCACACACAUCCAUCUCACCCCUAUGUGCACCACCGCGUGGGUCCCCCCUUGGCUUGUUCGGAGGGGGGCUUACGUUUUCACACAAACUUUGUAUGCAGUGUAGAAUGUAUUUUUUGUUUUUGCGAUCACGCAAUCAAUACAACUUUCAACAACGGAUCUCUUGGCUCUC